rnacentral:lncRNA from 1 species
UCCUUUUUCCCAAAGGAAAAAGCUUUUCUUUUCAAGCAGUUGGCGUAGCGGCAGAAGAGGUAGGUCCUUGUUUGGCUUGCAUUACUAGGUUCAGAUCUAAAGCGGGCGGCAGUAUUUUCUUGUAUGAGAUUUCUGGGCAUAUCUAGGAAAGGGCCUUUUUUUUAUCAUCGCAUCAGUGGAGCAGAAGAGGUAGGUCCUAAGAUUUCAUUUCACUAACAGAUCUACCACUCGAUGGGAUUGGCUAACCUUGGCUUGAGACCAUUUGCGGCAGUAUUUUGGGUAGUCGGAUUUCUUGCGUAUUUGAUUUCAUCUCCAACAGAUCUGAGGAUGACUACUGGCAAAGGCUUUGGUUUCAAUAUCCUGCCUCACUCAUCAAUUUCUA